ensembl:misc_RNA
UUGACAGCCCCGAAGAUUGAAAUUCUCAAUUUAUCCGCAGAACAACUACCAUGCAGCCGAGGCAAUAAUCCUUCCAUACACCUCAGCCCUGACCAGGAGUGACCAGAGGUUGGGGCUUCAUUUCCAUUCAGUCCUUGGCCUCU